GACGAACGCUGGCGGCGUGCUUAACACAUGCAAGUGGAGCGACGAACCAGGGCUUGCCCUGGGGCAGAGCCGCGAACGGGUGAGUAACACGUGGGUUACCUACCCGACUGACCGGGACAACCCGACGGAAACCCGGGCUAAUACCGGAUGUGGUCUUCGGACGAAAGGAAGCUUCGGCCUCCGCAUCGGGAUGGGCCCGCGGCGCAUUAGCUUGUUGGUGGGGUAACGGCCUACCAAGGCGACGAUGCGAGCUGGUCUGAGAGGACGAUCAGCCACACUGGGACUGAGACACGGCCCAGACUCCUACGGGAGGCAGCAGUGGGGAAGUCUUGCGCAAUGGGCGAAA
rnacentral:rRNA from 1 species